CUAACACAUGCAAGUCGAACGAAGUAGCAAUACUUAGUGGCAGACGGGUGAGUAACAUGUAGGUAUCUACCCUUUGGCCUGGAAUAACACGAGGAAACUUGUGCUAAUACCGGAUAAGUCUUUACAGAGAAAGCUUUAUGCACCAUUGGAUGAGCCUGCACUUGAUUAGUUUGUUGGUGGGGUAAUGGCCUACCAAGACUGUGAUCAAUAGCUGAUUUGAGAGGAUGAUCAGCCACAUUGGGACUGAGACACGGCCCAAACUCCUACGGGAGGCAGCAGUGGGGAAUCUUGCACAAUGGAGGAAACUCUGAUGCAGCGAUGCCGCGUGAGUGAAGAAGGCCCUUGGGUUGUAAAGCUCUUUCGUCGGGGAAGAAAAUGACUGUACCCGAAUAAGAAGGUCCGGCUAACUUCGUGCCAGCAGCCGCGGUAAUACGAAGGGACCUAGCGUAGUUCGGAAUUACUGGGCUUAAAGAGUUCGUAGGUGGUUGAAAAAGUUAGUGGUGAAAUCCCAGAGCUUAACUCUGGAACUGCCAUUAAAACUUUUCAGCUAGAGUAUGAUAGAGGAAAGCAGAAUUUCUAGUGUAGAGGUGAAAUUCGUAGAUAUUAGAAAGAAUACCAAUUGCGAAGGCAGCU
rnacentral:rRNA from 1 species